GUACACUCCUACGGGAGGCAGCAGUGGGGAAUAUUGGACAAUGGGCGCAAGCCUGAUCCAGCCAUGCCGCGUGAGUGAUGAAGGCCCUAGGGUUGUAAAGCUCUUUCACCGGUGAAGAUAAUGACGGUAACCGGAGAAGAAGCCCCGGCUAACUUCGUGCCAGCAGCCGCGGUAAUACGAAGGGGGCUAGCGUUGUUCGGAUUUACUGGGCGUAAAGCGCACGUAGGCGGACUAUUAAGUCAGGGGUGAAAUCCCGGGGCUCAACCCCGGAACUGCCUUUGAUACUGGUAGUCUUGAGUUCGAGAGAGGUGAGUGGAAUUCCGAGUGUAGAGGUGAAAUUCGUAGAUAUUCGGAGGAACACCAGUGGCGAAGGCGGCUCACUGGCUCGAUACUGACGCUGAGGUGCGAAAGCGUGGGGAGCAAACAGGAUUAGAAACCCUUGUAGUCCCAUGAU
rnacentral:rRNA from 1 species